GCCGAGGUGGUGAAAUUGGCAGACACGCUACUUUGAGGUGGUAGUGCUCAACAGGCUUACGGGUUCGAAUCCCGUCCUCGGCACCA
rnacentral:tRNA from 1 species